rfam:Picea glauca, whole genome shotgun sequence.
CGGUGAGAUCAUACCAGCGUUAAUACGUUGGAUCCCAUCAGAAUUCCGCAGUUAAGCGCACUUGGGCCAGAGUAGUACUGGGAUGGUUGACCUCCCGGGAAGUCCUAGUGUUGCACCCU